rnacentral:rRNA from 1 species
AUGUAUGAAUUAUUAGUUAUAAUAAUUUAUGCAUCUUCUCGGAAACGAAAGUCUUUCGGUUCCGGGGGAAGUAUGGUUGCAAAGCUGAAACUUAAAGGAAUUGACGGAAGGGCACCACCAGGAGUGGAGCCUGCGGCUUAAUUUGACUCAACACGGGAAAACUCACCCGGGCCGGACACUAUAAGGAUUGACAGAUUGAU